AUUGAACGCUGGCGGCAGGCCUAACACAUGCAAGUCGAACGAGUGGCGGACGGGUGAGUAAUGUCUGGGAAACUGCCUGAUCGGGGGGGAUAACUAGUGGAAACGGUAUCUAAUACCGUCAACCCUCAAAGAUACCCAGAUGGGAUGAGAUGGUUGGUGGGGGAACGGCUCACCAAGGAGACGAUCCCUAGCUGGUCUGAGAGGAUGACCAGCCACACUGGAACUGAGACACGGCCCAGACUCCUACGGGAGGCAGCAGUGGGGAAUAUUGCACAAUGGGCGCAAGCCUGAUGCAGCCAUGCCGCGUGUAUGAAGAAGGCCUUCGGGUUGUAAAGUACUUUCAGCGGGGAGGCGUUACCCGCAGAAGAAGCACCGGCUAACUCCGUGCCAGCAGCCGCGGUAAUUC
rnacentral:rRNA from 1 species